UGGGUGGAUGGACGGAUGGAUGGAUGGGUGGAUGGAUGGAUGGAUGGAUGGAUGGACGUCCAGCAGAGCUGAGAAUAGGUUAUGUAGUUGCACAGCAUCUAAAUGCAUCCUGUGUCAGUGCAAGUAGCAGCUCUGGAGGAAAGGCACAAAGUGGUGCCUUGGAAACUGGAGGCGGGUGGACUUUUCCAUAAAAUCAGCCACAUUGUGAGCAUGUGAUCUUCAUAAUAUCCACAGUGAUAAUUUCCUGAAAUUCCCUCUGAGGUCGAACUCAAAGGAAUCUGAAACUUAGGCAAAAAAUAUUUGAGUAAAAUUAUGCAAGACUUGUACAGAGCCAGAGAAAAUGAGUCACGAUUCUUGUAUUGACCUCUGGUCAGACUCAUAUUUCCAUUACAGCAAAUUUAUGUGAAUUGUGGAAUGCAGCAAAACCAGAAAAGAGACAUGGGCAGAAAUGGUCUUUUUACUAUAAGGAAUAUAGAUUUUUGAUUUUAUAUGACUGAGCUAGGUCUAUCAAUAAAAGGGGGCCCACUUUUAAGUAAAAUUUAAAUUAAACUGAAUUUUCUGCACUCUAAAUAUUUUAUUAUACUCUAGAUGUGAACAAAAAUUUUAUGAAGUUUAGAUUUUUUUUUUCAUUAGGGAAAAUUCAGCUGUUAUUUUAUAGUUCCAGUCAAAGAACACACACUUUACUCUUUUGAUGGGAGAUCCUUUAGGCAUCUUAACUGAAGUGGUGUACAUUUUCUGUUGGUCUUGAAAAGGCACUUCACUUUCCCAACAAAGAUUUUUAUGGGGUAAUGUUGAAUGUAUAUUAAAUACACAUUCCUUUUUGUAUAUUUUGUACCAUUGCACACUUAUUAUUGUACAUUGUAUUUGUUGUCAUGAUGUCAUUUAUAUAUGGUUGUCAAAGAUGAUAUGCUCACAGAGUAAAUGGUUAUGGCUUUGGGAUUUCACUUCUUGAAUCUUUUAUGAGGAGGGGUUUUAUGUUGUUGAUUUUUAUUCAACUAGUGUGUUGUAGCAUCAAAGAUAUAUAUCUGAUGGACAUUCAUAAAAUAAAGUAAAAAUAUAUUUGAAAUUUUGGACUUGAGAUGUUUGGUGGCACUGCAGCCUUUCCUGUACAUUGCUGGUCUUCAGUAAUGAGUAGAGCUUUUCACUGCCAUCAAGUUGCAUUUGUUUACAUCUCCUUUAAGUUUUCCCUUUCUCUCUCCAUAUGUUUUCUCAGCCAUAAUUACAGUUCAUUCUCCAGAACACCAUUUCUUUUUUUAUUACUGGACCCAUAUCCCUGUAAUGCAGAAAUGCCUUAAUUUUUAUGAACUAUAUUUAAUUUGACUUAAUACCGCACAGGUUUCAUUGGGUUCCCUUCUCUUUCCAUUAUAUUUUCCAAAUAAAAUGGAGUGGAAUUUUUUGACAGCUGUGACAGACUUUGCUGUAUGACUCUUCUCAGCUCUGCUUCCAAAUGGUUUAUCAUGAUGUUGUUGAACAUUCUCCCAGGCAGUCUAAUGGUGUAUCAGGUGCAGUGCUAACACAGUGGGAAGCAAACCAAUGCUGUAAACUUUUUUUACCUUAAAAUAAGAAAGCUACAUUUUCCAAGAAUUAAGCAACCGUAAACUGAAAUAUUUGAGCUGACUUCUGCUAUUAAUUUCUUUCUGUUAAAGAUGUAGUAGAGAGGGGAAGUUUCCACUUUCCCAUAAGAGACAAAUUUUGAAAGCCUUUAACAGUUCACUAAAAAGUCAGCUAUGUGUGACCUCUUCAAGUGCUCUGCCAAAAUAUACUUACAGCAACCUCCCCCUUUUCUUCCGCAUGGAAUCACACUAAAAAACUGUUAUAUGAUGCCAUAAAACAACGUGAAUCAGUCUGUUAUGUGUUCCCUUGAUUAAACGGAAUACAUUUUAUUGCUGCAUUUGCAUGCUUUUCUUUGAAAUCUGGAGUCAAGCAACUGAAUCUCUUUGAGGAUUAAGCACAUUUUAGUGGUGUCUGUAUAAAUUAUUGACAAAUUAGCAGAACAUCAUUGUCUCAGCUUUGACACUGCUUGCUAGGGGGGAAAUGCACAAAGAAUGUGUUCUGGCUUGGCUCAGAUUGUGUUAGUUGGUGUUUGUAAUAUGGAAUACAAUUGAUUAAGGUUUGGGGGAAACUAUGUCUUAGAGCCACAGAGGGAAAUUCUUCCCUCUGUGAGUAGCUUCAAUGAUCUAUAAUCUUUGUUCAAAGAAAGGAUUUUACUAUUUGCUUUUGAAAAACAGGUUCUGGGAUUCUUUGAUAGUAGAGGGGAAAGUUUGCAGGUUUUGUCCUUCCAGAGCCAGUAGUACCUGUAAAAUCAAAGUACUUAAUUAUAAUCUGAUAGCAGCAGAUGUCACCAUUUAGGAGCCAGUGGUUGUUGACUCUUCUCCAGCAGUGACCAACACAGAUGUUUCAAUGUAAGUGUAGAAGCAGCUACAAUUCAUGUUGACAUACCAAUGGGGAUAUCCUCCUCAGCAAGGAAUGCUGCUGGUUGUUCCAUAUCAUGAAGCAUGCAGGACUUAAAUAGUCAUUCUAGAUAAUAUUUGACAACUUCUCUGGGAAGCACAUUCCAGUCCCUCACCACCUUCAGAGUGUUUUCUCCUAGCAUGUAAUCUAAACACCCCUUGUUUUGGUUUAAAAACAUUCUCUCUUGUUCUGUUAUAUUAAAAAUAACUUUUUAUAAGCCCCCCUUAGGUACUGGAAGGCUGCAAUGAGGUGUCCCCAGAGCCUUCUCGUCUCAGUGAUAACCUCAAGAGAACUCUUGUGAAGUUCCGUUUAUCUUUGGUGGUAUUCUCUCUUAGUCUUUCCCCUCGUGUGCUCCAUUCACUGAAUUCCCUUGUCUUUAUCUCUUGUUGAAGACUUCUGAACUGUGCUGCUUUGGUAAGAUGUAAGGGGAGAGGAAUGGAAAUAAAAGGAAGGCAGUUCAUCCUAGAAUAUGCAGUGUGUGUCUCAGUGUACAGUGACAUCCUCAGUCACCUGGCUGGAUGUGCCCACACUGAAUUCAUGCAGCAGGAACAAGGGAGACACAAGAAUAGAGGUGAUUAUAGGCUGCCAUUGUGUUUUGGUUGUUCCUCAGGAUCUGUACAUUAGGAGCUCAUCGGGAAGAAUUCUCUAAGGUCCGUGUUCUGUGAGGCUGCUGCUGUAACAGCACCUAAAAGCCACAGCAGGGUUUUGUGAUGUGUGUUUGCUACCCCAUCCUUUUCCUCUUGCAGAACCAGCCCAGCCUAGUCCUGGCCUUUUCUUCUUGCAGUAAAAAAGCUCAGUUUUGCCUGUGCUUGUGUUGCUGAGAAGCUUUGAGGUGGCUCUGGAUAAACAGCUUCUGCCCUCUGUCUUGCAGACUGCUGGCAAUGGCACCACGGACAUCAGACUGUCUGUGGUGAUGAGUAAAGGGUUUGCUUUGGUCUCCCUUACUGUAAUUGUACUAAUUGAGUGAAAGAUUGCAGUGGAAGUCUUCCACAGAGCUGACAUUUCUGGGUGUGGUCAAGGUAUUUUGGACAUAUUUUUUCUGAUUUCCGGAAUUUGUUCCAUUCUGGGGGAAGAUAAUAUAUAUUAAAUAGCUUUUGAUUUUUCAAUUUCAAAAGACAAUUCAUUUUUAAAUUGGUUUGGCUAUAAGUGAAACCAUCUGUGUUCAAUUAAUUAAGGAAAAACAAUCGCUGGAAGAAAAAAUAAAAUAUUUUGCUUUUCCACAGUAGACUUUGGUCUUGCUUUCAAAAUUCACUGAAGAUUUAAAAACCAAACAACUCUUCUAGAAAAACCAAACCAAACCACCAAAAAACACACCCAAACCCAUGAAAAAAGACAAAAAACACCACAAACCUUGUUUAUUUCAGAUUGCCCUGCAAUAAACUUUUUGAGUCUUAUUUUUCUAUUCUGCUAAUGAAUAAAAUGUGAUCAGUUUUUUCACAAA